rnacentral:rRNA from 1 species
AAAUUUUUGUAAAAUUUUAUUUUUUAGUUAAAAAGCUAAAAUUUAUUUAAAAGACGAGAAGACCCUAUAAAUCUUAAUUAUUUAUAAAUUUUUAAUUAUUUUUCAUUUUUUUUUGUUGUUAGUUUAUAAAUAAUUUUAUUGGGGUGAUAUUAAAAUUUAAAUAACUUUUAAUUAUUUUUAUCAUUUAUUUAUGAUUAAUUGAUCCAUUAUUAAUGAUUAAAAAUUUAAGUUACUUUAGGGAUAACAGCGUAAUUUUUUUGGAGAGUUCUUAUCGAUAAAAAAGUUUGCGACCUCGAUGUUGGAUUAAGAUUCAUAUUUAAAUGCAGAAGUUUAAAUAUUAAGUCUGUUCGACUUUUUAUUCUUACAUGAUCUGAGUUCAAACCGGUGUAAGCCAGGUUGGUUUCUAUCUUUAAUUUAAUUAAAUAUUUUAGUACGAAAGGAAUUAAUAUUUGUUUUAUAAAAUUUAAUAAAAGAAU